AGAGUUUGAUCCUGGGCUCAGGAUGAACGCUAGCGGCAGGCCUAAUACAUGCAAGUCGAACGGUAAAUGCCCCUUCGGGGGCAUGAGAGUGGCGGACGGGUGCGCAACGCGUAUGCAACCACCCCCGACAGGCGGAUAGCCGGUGGAAAACGCCCGGAUAACCCGCCAUGCGCACCAGGAGGGGGCCAUCCCUUCUGGUGCAAAGCGGCGACGCGGUCGGGGACGGGCAUGCGUCCCAUUAGCUUGUUGGCGGGGCGACGGCCCACCAAGGCUACGAUGGUAGGGGAUCUGAGAGGACGGUCCCCCACACUGGUACUGAGACACGGACCAGACUCCUGCGGGAGGCAGCAGUAAGGGAUAUUGGGCAAUGGGCGGAAGCCUGACCCAGCCAUGCCGCGUGAGGGAAGUAGGCCCUACGGGUCGUGAACCUCUUUUAUUCGGGGACAAGGACGGCGUCGCGAACGCUGUUUGAGGGUACCGAAGGAAUAAGCGUCGGCUAACUCCGUGCC
rnacentral:rRNA from 1 species